AUUUUAAAUUUAGAAAAGAAUAAUUCAAUAUUUCUAUAAAAUAUAAAGGAGUUAGUUUCUAUUGCAAAGGUCUAAUAGUUAACCUCCUUUCUUAGAUCCUACCUAAGGCUUUCAUAUUAUCAAUUAGUAUAUUUCAUCAACCUGUCCAAAUGGAAGCGGCUCUAGCAAUCUGCACAAAAGGUUGCGUCCACAAAAACUCUUGAUUCAUUUCUGAUGAGAUUGCAGGUGACCAAGAACUUUGAAGCUCGACAACUUCAGCCUUCUCUAAAAUGAACAGUAGAAAUACGGAACCGCGAGAGGAUCUUCAACCUGCAGUCCACGAUAUGAAAGGUCCACACACAAAGAGUUACAGCACAUCUACUUGCUAAAAAGUUUACUACUUUUCUUCCAAAGGGCUCUCGGUUUGCUAGAUUCUAUUACAGUGGAAGCAGAUGAAACUGGAAAAUAUGGAGAACUUCAAACAAGCAGCUGUUAAAUCACCAUCCGAAGAUUAAUUACAGAGAUUAGAGGAGACAAGUCAUGAAGUAAGAUUCACCUAGUUGAGGAAAGUGUUAAUUAAAAGAUCUUACGAACCGUAGGCUGAAUGACGGAUAACGUGUACAGAUCGCGGUUUCCUGUACUGAGGUUUCUUGGGGAAAUAUGCAGUUAGCGUUACAAGCGGCUUGGACAGUCGGAAUCCUAGUAUGGGCACAAUCGCAACUACCGCAGUACAAUGGUAGCGUCUAGUAACAGAUGUAGCUUUCUAUCAGUCGGCAAGGUUAACACACUCCACAGACUAAUCGAGAUGUGUAGGAUUCUCAUCACCACGCUUCUUAGCCACCUUUCUUCAAUAUUGACUAAUGAACGUCCUAAACUAUCAGCUCUAGAUAUUAGUAGCCUUCCACUAUCGAUCGUUGUUGUGGUAAUGAAUAUUUGUCCUAGUAAGUAAGCAGAAACACAACAACAUUAGCACCAGCAUGAUCGUGGACGUACAAGUUCAUCAAACAGUUGACUGACCUUCAAGUUGAGAUGAUUAUCAGUGGGGGACAAGUAUUGAACCAGAACGCAUGUGAGGCAUUAACAGGGUCAAUUGGCGUUGCUGAUAAUUGCAAUCAGUGCAAGAUAGAACCAUAGAGAAGUAG
rnacentral:lncRNA from 1 species